rnacentral:rRNA from 1 species
AACGCGAAGAACCUUACCAGGCCUUGACAUCUGAGGAACCCUCUUGAAAGAGGGGGGUGCCGCAAGGAGCCUCAAGACAGGUGGUGCAUGGCUGUCGUCAGCUCGUGUCGUGAGAUGUUGGGUUAAGUCCCGCAACGAGCGCAACCCUCGUCGUUAGUUGCCAUCAGGUAAAGCUGAGCACCCUAACGAGACUGCCGGUGACAAACCGGAGGAAGGUGGGGAUGACGUCAAGUCAUCAUGCCCCUUAUGGCCUGGGCUACACACGUGCUACAAUGGUCGGGACAAUGGGAUGCAAGAUCGCAAGGUGGAGCAAAUCCCCAAACCCGGCCCCAGUUCAGAUUGCAGGCUGCAACUCGCCUGCAUGAAGUCGGAACCGCUAGUAAAUGCGGAUCAGCAUGCCGCAUUGAAUACGUUCCGCGGGUCUUGUACACACCG